CUAUAGCUAGGCUGACCAUGCUCUUUCCCCCAAUGGGAGCCCAGUGUACAAUGGCUGCAAACAGCAGCAUUUUCAGUAGUGUAUGUAGCCAGUUGCUUCUAUGGGCUGCCCUAGGGACUUUGGAGACAGCC